rnacentral:rRNA from 1 species
UACGUAGGGUGCGAGCGUUAAUCGGAAUUACUGGGCGUAAAGCGUGCGCAGGCGGUUCGUUGUGUCGGCGGUGAAAGCCCCGGGCUUAACCUGGGAACGGCCGUUGAAACUGGCGAACUGGAGUGUGGCAGAGGGGGGUGGAAUUCCGCGUGUAGCAGUGAAAUGCGUAGAGAUGCGGAGGAACACCGAUGGCGAAGGCAGCCCCCUGGGCUAACACUGACGCUGAGGAGCGAAAGGCGUGGGGAGCGAACAGG